AGUCGAGCGGUAGCACAAAGAGCUGGCUCUCGGGUGACGAGCGGCGGACGGGUGAGUAAUGUCUGGAAAACUGCCUGAUGGAGGGGGAUAACUACUGGAAACGGUAGCUAAUACCGCAUAACGUCCCAAGACCAAAGUGGGGGACCUUCGGGCCUCAUGCCAUCAAAUGUGCCCAGAUGGGAUUAGCUAGUAGGUGGGGUAACGGCUCACCUAGGCAACAAUCUCUAGCUGGUCUGAGAAGAUGACCAGCCACACUGGAACUGAGACACGGUCCAAACUCCUACGGGAGGCAGCAGUGGGGAAUAUUGCACAAUGGGGGAAACCCUGAUGCACCCUUGCCGCGUGUGUGAAGAAGGCCUUCGGGUUGUAAAGCACUUUCAGUGGGGAGGAAAGGGUGGCAGCUAAUACCUUUCACCUGUGACGUUACCCACAGAGGAAGCACCGGCUAACUCCGUG
rnacentral:rRNA from 1 species